rnacentral:rRNA from 1 species
AAAUUGAAGAGUUUGAUCAUGGCUCAGAUUGAACGCUGGCGGCAGGCCUAACACAUGCAAGUCGAGCGGUAGCACAGAGAGCUUGCUCUCGGGUGACGAGCGGCGGACGGGUGAGUAAUGUCUGGGAAACUGCCUGAUGGAGGGGGGAUAACUACUGGAAACGGUAGCUAAUACCGCAUAAUGUCGCAAGACCAAAGUGGGGGACCUUCGGGCCUCAUGCCAUCAGAUGUGCCCAGAUGGGAUUAGCUAGUAGGUGGGGUAACGGCUCACCUAGGCGACGAUCCCUAGCUGGUCUGAGAGGAUGACCAGCCACACUGGAACUGAGACACGGUCCAGACUCCUACGGGAGGCAGCAGUGGGGAAUAUUGCACAAUGGGCGCAAGCCUGAUGCAGCCAUGCCGCGUGUGUGAAGAAGGCCUUCGGGUUGUAAAGCACUUUCAGCGGGGAGGAAGGCGAUAAGGUUAAUAACCUUGUCGAUUGACGUUACCCGCAGAAGAAGCACCGGCUAACUCCGUGCCAGCAGCCGCGGUAAUACGGAGGGUGCAAGCGUUAAUCGGAAUUACUGGGCGUAAAGCGCACGCAGGCGGUCUGUCAAGUCGGAUGUGAAAUCCCCGGGCUCAACCUGGGAACUGCAUUCGAAACUGGCAGGCUAGAGUCUUGUAGAGGGGGGUAGAAUUCCAGGUGUAGCGGUGAAAUGCGUAGAGAUCUGGAGGAAUACCGGUGGCGAAGGCGGCCCCCUGGACAAAGACUGACGCUCAGGUGCGAAAGCGUGGGGAGCAAACAGGAUUAGAUACCCUGGUAGUCCACGCCGUAAACGAUGUCGAUUUGGAGGUUGUGCCCUUGAGGCGUGGCUUCCGGAGCUAACGCGUUAAAUCGACCGCCUGGGGAGUACGGCCGCAAGGUUAAAACUCAAAUGAAUUGACGGGGGCCCGCACAAGCGGUGGAGCAUGUGGUUUAAUUCGAUGCAACGCGAAGAACCUUACCUGGUCUUGACAUCCACAGAACUUUCCAGAGAUGGAUUGGUGCCUUCGGGAACUGUGAGACAGGUGCUGCAUGGCUGUCGUCAGCUCGUGUUGUGAAAUGUUGGGUUAAGUCCCGCAACGAGCGCAACCCUUAUCCUUUGUUGCCAGCGGUUAGGCCGGGAACUCAAAGGAGACUGCCAGUGAUAAACUGGAGGAAGGUGGGGAUGACGUCAAGUCAUCAUGGCCCUUACGACCAGGGCUACACACGUGCUACAAUGGCAUAUACAAAGAGAAGCGACCUCGCGAGAGCAAGCGGACCUCAUAAAGUAUGUCGUAGUCCGGAUUGGAGUCUGCAACUCGACUCCAUGAAGUCGGAAUCGCUAGUAAUCGUAGAUCAGAAUGCUACGGUGAAUACGUUCCCGGGCCUUGUACACACCGCCCGUCACACCAUGGGAGUGGGUUGCAAAAGAAGUAGGUAGCUUAACCUUCGGGAGGGCGCUUACCACUUUGUGAUUCAUGACUGGGGUGAAGUCGUAACAAGGUAACCGUAGGGGAACCUGCGGUUGGAUCACCUCCUUA